rnacentral:misc_RNA from 1 species
AGCCAACGCAAUUCUUAUAUCAGAAGCCUUUCUUUCAAUCAAAGUCUCCUCCAAAUCAGCAUCACAGCACUGAGGACCUUGAUCAUAUAAAGAAUAAUCUCCCACAUCAAGCAGUGCAGAAUCAUCCUCCCUCAUUAGUAAAGCAUUAUGAAGGAUCGAGCAUGCGCCAAUAAAAGCAACAGCAGUCUUAAGCUCCUCUUCGAUUGGUUUACACAAAACACCCCAAUUUUUCAAGCUAGCGACAGUUCUAAAUGCAGAAACUCGCAUUAAAUUAUUUGCUGUAUUAAAUACCUCUUCAUAUGAUCCAGGCAAAGCAUCAACAAAUGGAACCAUUAACCAAGGAAGUAAAGGAUACCCUUUUCCUCCAAUUAGGUACUGAUUUAUGGCCACACCAUUGACAAUAACUGGGCUCGAAUUCAAUAGCCUCCCUUCUUCAAUAUCCUUGUACAAAGUUGUCGAUUUAAGUAUCUUACAAUUACCCUUAUCUCCACGAAAUCCAGCGAUUACACUUAAAAUUCUUGAAGAUGAAUCCACAACAAUUUGAACAGCAAUUCUAUCAUCUUGAUCCUUGCCGUCUGAAGCUAAUUUGCAAUCAUUCUUCCCAUCAAGCUUGAAUCUAGCACAUCCUAUCACACCACAACAAUUUGGUAAUCCUGUAAGAGUUUCAAAAUCUUUUGACACCAAU